rnacentral:rRNA from 1 species
AUUGAACGCUGGCGGCAGGCCUAACACAUGCAAGUCGAGCGGGGUUUUCGGACCUAGCGGCGGACGGGUGAGUAAUGCGUAGGAAGCUGCCCGAUAGAGGGGGAUACCAGUUGGAAACGACUGUUAAUACCGCAUAAUGUCUACGGACCAAAGUGUGGGACCUUCGGGCCACAUGCUGUCGGAUGCGCCUACGUGGGAUU